rnacentral:misc_RNA from 1 species
AGUGGGAAGAAUUGGUAAGGC